GCCACCGUGGCUCAAUCGGCAGAGCAAUCGCUUCGUAAGCGAUAGGUUAUGGGUUCGAUUCCCAUCGGUGGCUCUA
rnacentral:tRNA from 1 species